GAUGAACGCUAGCGGCAGGCCUAACACAUGCAAGUCGAGGGGCAUCAUGGCGUAGCAAUACGCUGAUGGCGACCGGCGCACGGGUGCGUAACGCGUAUGGAACCUACCCACCGCAGGGGGAUAACCUGCCGAAAGGCGGACUAAUACCCCAUGGUUCCCCGACCCUGCCUGGGGUUGGGGGUAAAGCCUACGGGCGGCGGUGGAUGGCCCUGCGUGCCAUUAGCUGGCUGGUGGGGUAACGGCCCACCAGGGCGACGAUGGCUAGGGGGUCUGAGAGGACGAUCCCCCACACUGGUACUGAGACACGGACCAGACUCCUACGGGAGGCAGCAGUGAGGAAUAUUGGUAAUGCGCGAAAGCGUGAACCAGCAACGCCGCGUGUGCGAUGAAGGCCUUCGGGUUGUAAAGCACUUUUCGGGAGGAAGAGGAAGGACUGUACUCCCAGAAUAAGCCUCGGCUAACUACGUGCCAGCAGCCCGACGGUAAAAUCACGUGUA
rnacentral:rRNA from 1 species